rnacentral:rRNA from 1 species
AACGCAUCUUGCGCUCCUUGGUAUUCCUUGGAGCAUGCCUGUUUGAGUAUCAUGAAAUUCUCAAAGUAAAUCUUUUGUUAAUUCAAUUGGUUAACUUUGGAUUUGGAGGCUCUGUGGAUUUUUACAAUCCACUCCUCUUGAAUAUAUUAGCUGGAUCUCAGUAUAUACUUGGUUCCACUCGGUGUGAUAAGCAUCACUCGCCGAGGACACCACCUGUCAAAAGGUGUGGCCAAGGAAUUCAGAUGAACCGCUUCCAAUAGUCUAUUGAAUUAGACAAUAUAUUUUAAGAUCUGAUCUCAAAUCAGGUAGGACUACCCGCUGAACUUAA